GGCUAGCGAUGGGGGAGAAAACGGUGAAGCGGAGCAAGAGAAAGAUGCGGAAACGACUGGAGACGUUGGCAUUAGUGAGGGUGAGGCGAUCGAGGAAAACAAUGAUCGAUGAAUGAGGAAGGGGAGCAUGGAAAUGGCUAGGUUAGAGGGGAAGGUGAUGGGGGAGGGGGGGUGCUGAGCCAUAGCUGGAUGACAUUGCCAU
rnacentral:lncRNA from 1 species